rnacentral:rRNA from 1 species
GUAGGUGAACCUGCGGAAGGAUCAUUACCACACCCUUUUUUUACUAAAAGAAAAGAAAAGAAUGAAGGGGUUUUUUGGGAAGUGGUGUGUAAACCUGCUUUUUACUGACUCUUUUUUUUC